rnacentral:rRNA from 1 species
UACGUAGGGUGCAGGCGUUAAUCGGAAUUACUGGGCGUAAAGCGUGCGCAGGCGGUUUGGUAAGAGAGAUGUGAAAUCCCCGGGCUUAACCUGGGAACUGCGUUUCUAACUGGCAGGCUUGAGUGUGGCAGAGGGGGGUGGAAUUCCACGUGUAGCAGUGAAAUGCGUAGAGAUGUGGAGGAACACCGAUGGCGAAGGCAGCCCCCUGGGCUAACACUGACGCUCAUGCACGAAAGCGUGGGGAGCAAACAGG